UACGUAGGGUGCAAGCGUUGUCCGGAAUUAUUGGGCGUAAAGAGCUCGUAGGCGGUCUGUCGCGUCUGCUGUGAAAACUCAGGGCUUAACCCUGAGCUUGCAGUGGGUACGGGCAGACUAGAGUGCGGUAGGGGAGACUGGAAUUCCUGGUGUAGCGGUGAAAUGCGCAGAUAUCAAGAGGAACACCUGCGGCGAAGGCGGGUUGCUGGGCUGACACUGACGCUGAAGCGCGAAAGCCAGGGGAGCGAACGGG
rnacentral:rRNA from 1 species